UCUAGUCCUAGGCCCAUCUGAGCGGGCGCCGCCGCGCCGGCGCCCGUAGAGGAGCCGGGAGUGGGCGGCGGCUUUGGUGCUCGUCGAAUCGCAUCGCUCGAUUCGGCCGGCGUUCGCCGCUGCCCGGUGCAACGAGGCGCCGUUGGGGGAGCCAGCGCUCGGGGGUCAAAGCGGCGAAGUGGCGGAGGCUGAGAGAUUAGGUGGAGGAGCCACUACCAGGCCGCCCUUCUUCCUAUCGUUGUACAGCUACAUGGGCCCUUGAGGCCUCGCGCCGCCGCAGUUCGACACCCGCGUCGCAUGGUCGCCAUCUUGAGGCCAGACAAGGGCUAUGCAUAUGGGGAGCAGCAGGCAUGCUGUAAUCGGGAGUACAAUCUUUACUAGAUUGGUCUUCGUUUUAACUGCCACAGUGAAACUUGUCAGAAUAUGAAUAUAUCUGUCAAUAUUGGAGAAACUAUCCUCGGAUCAACAAAGCUAAGAGGUACAAGAAACAGUGCGUACCAGGAGGGUUGGCAAGCCUGAGGUACAGGACCUCGCCAUAGUUGCUGCUUUUCCAUGUAUCGACAAGCUCCCCCGUCCAAACCAAGCACCUUGACUGGUCGGCCAUGCCGCUGCUCAAGUUGGCGUAAGCAUAGGCAGUGCACGAGCAAUUCCAGCUGCAUUCGGCCGCGCACUGCUCAAAGGUUCUGUUCCGGAGGAGCACGAACUUGUCAGGAACUCUCAUCCCGGGCAGGGCCACGAAGUGACUUCCCUUGCUGCACUGCAGCGGUUCUGUUCUCCGACAUCCUCUGGAAGAGUUGAGACCUACAGCCUCGAAGCCCUCGAGGCAGUGGCAUGCCGGGGCAGCCUCAGUGAAGUCGCAGUAGCCAUUCGGGCCACAUGAGUCAUAGAGACCGUAGCCGCCUUCGGGGCGCUCAGAGAUCACUGUCCAUGAUGACGAAUUGCUGUCCCAGGUCAGGAGCUUCAUGGUGCCUGUGUGGUCAAGCAUGAUCCGCGAGUACGGUGAGCCGCCGGAGACCACAAUCUCAAGGUAGAACUCAUCCCCUUUGUUGACGAUGGUCUGGUACACCAUGGAGCUGGGGCUGCUUGGGUACAUGCCGCCCAGUACGCCGUUCCACACGCUGAUGCGGCAGUAUAUCUUGGCCCCGUUCCAAAUGAUCAACUGGAGGUUUGAGACGGGGUCGAGGCCGAACGAGAAGUCUCCGGUGGAUGGGUCAUCAGGGCUCCUCCAAGAAAUCAGGCGAGCCACCGCACGACCCCUGUGGAUCAACAAGAACUCCAUUCCUGGGAGGAUGGUGUCAGUCGGGUGAUCGAAGCUCUGCCAUAUGACCGAUGUGUUAGGCAGUUGGAGUACCAGGUUCCCCGUGUCGCGCAGCACCAGGAAAGCGCCGCUGUCGUGGGCAGCGACGAUGUUCUGUGUUCUCCAGAGAGUUUGGCCUUUGGAAUCCGACAGCACUAGGUCAGAGCUGUUGCUGAUGGCAAGCGUCGGGGUUGAAGCGGUGGUGGUUGGGUUGUCGCGGUUGGCAACCCACACUAUGGUGCGGUUGCGCUUGGGGAUGCCGUGGAACCAAAUCCCAACAUACAAGCUCUCGUUGGAGCCUACCGGGGAGAAGAAGCCGAGAGCAAAGACGCCAUUCUUGGAGAUGAGCAGGUCCCCGGGAGAGAGUGGCCUUGCGCUUGUAAGCUGGUCAUCUGAUUGGCAGAAACAAAUCAGGAGCAGGAGGAUGAAAACGGUGAGGCAGAUCGUACCCAUUGUGCCUUCUCCGUUCAUCUCUGACGAGUCACGAGCGA